rnacentral:rRNA from 1 species
GCUUUUGUGUGGAUUAUGCGUAUUUAUUUAUGUGCAAUGUUAGGUUAAAUUUUUUUGUGACAGUGUGUGGUAAAUAGGUUUUGUUAUGAUAUAUAUGAUGACAGGGAUUAGAUACCCCAUUAAUGUAUUUUGUAAAGUUGUUCUAGUUUUGUAACUAAAAUGGUUUGGCAGUGAGCGAUUCUUAUUAGGGGAAUAUGCAUAGUGAAGGAUGGUCCACCUAUUAGUUUACUCUUUUUAUGUUGGUGUAGGUCUGGUUUGA